CCUUCGCUCAACAAAUCGCUAUUCGAAGCUUUCACACAGAGACACUGCCUCGCAGCGUCUCCCACACACUCACGCUUUGGGAGAAAGUCCCCGGACGCGUCUCCCUCGUGGGGACACUGCGGAAACGCGCCGCCAUAAAAGCACCGCGGCUGACCUCUGUGCCCUUUGGCCUUUGUUCUUCGCGCCCAUCCCUGCUCGCCGCUACAUUCGGGCCCGCCAGCACCGUCGCUUGCCCUCCGUCCUCUGCCUGUGGCCGCCUAUGGAUGAAGAUAUGAGUCCGCGCCGGCAGGCUACCCGGGGACGUGUGGGCGAGGGGCGAGGCUCGGGGGGUGUUGGAUGGCGGGUGAGGCAUUGCGGCGCGUGCGAGAUUGGCGUCGGGCUGCAGAGGGCAUUUUCGUCGAGGUCGAUAGGUAUGCGAUUGCCCGGUGUAACAAGCCGGGUUACUCGAUGGGGCUUAUUCUUGAGGCGAAG
rnacentral:RNase_MRP_RNA from 2 species